UGAUAGCUCAGUCGGUAGAGCAGCUGACUGUUAAUCAGCGGGUCGUAGGUUCGAGUCCUACUC
rnacentral:tRNA from 1 species